UACGGAGGGUGCAAGCGUUAUCCGGAUUCACUGGGUUUAAAGGGUGCGUAGGCGGCCAACUAAGUCGGAUGUGAAAUCCCCAGGCUUAACCUGGGAACUGCAUCCGAUACUGGAUGGCUUGAAUCCGGGAGAGGGAUGCAGAAUUCCAGGUGUAGCGGUGAAAUGCGUAGAUAUCUGGAGGAAUACCGGUGGCGAAGGCGGCAUCCUGGACCGGCAUUGACGCUGAUGAGCGAAAGCUAGGGGAGCAAACGGG
rnacentral:rRNA from 1 species